UUUCAUUCUAUGCAGAAAGUCCGAGGAAAACUUUCUCUGUACUGAUUGUGGCAUCUGACGGCUAGGGAUCAUUGUAGCAUUUUUGUACCAAAAGUAAAUAGUCUUAUCUUAUAUAUUUCCCUAUAAAUAAUUGGGUCUCAUAAUCACGAAUUUUCAUACUCCCUCCUUUCUUCAGCUGCAUAACAUGCACCAGCAACAUGAUAUCACAAAAGACAACCUUGAUUUCCUAACCACAUAACAGACAAUUUAAUAUGAACCUGUCCAUUUACUCGAAAAUACUCCACCCUGCACAUUACUCCAAAAUAUUACAGUCACAAAAGCACAAGGGAACUGAACAAACAAAGUUAUAUUACAUAAGGGGAAGAAAAUAAUCAGCGGAUUUAAAUUGAAAUCAGAAAGUGAAAAUUUGUGGAGAAAAAAGAAAUGAACUUUGACUACUCGUCAAAGGAGAAAUCAAUCAGCCCGAAAACC
rnacentral:lncRNA from 1 species